AAACAACCCGAAACAGUAACAACAAAGAUAAAAAAUGAUCUUUGUUGGUUACAAGAGAUAUAAACCGAAACACCACAGAAAAAUAAAUGAAGAACACAACAAAAUUUGAUUUCGGAGUUCCCCUUGAAAUCAAGAGUACAUCUCCGUCAAGCUUCCCUCAAAGACGCUUGAUUCUUCACUAUCAAAGUCCAAACCGAUUACAAGGAUGAGAGAUUCCUAGCCACAAAGUUCAGUAGGUUGAUUACAAAACAAACAAGGGCUGCCUUGUAUUUUUCCUCUGCUGGCCGAAAUGGUCUCUUGCUCAAAGUGGAAGGUUGAACCACUUAUUUAUAAUGUUGUUGUUGUUGUUGUGUUUGUUUCUGAUCUGAGAAAGUUUGUUGUAAUCUGUUGAGAUAUUUUCCCUUGAAUAGCUGAAAGUUGUUAGAGUCUUGAGAUA